rnacentral:rRNA from 1 species
UACGUAGGGGGGCAAGCGUUGUCCGGAUUUAUUGGGCGUAAAGAGCGUGUAGGCGGCCAUGCAGGUCAGCUGUGAAAACUCGAGGCUCAACCUCGAGACGUCGGUUGAAACCGUGUGGCUAGAGUCCGGAAGAGGAGAGUGGAAUUCCCGGUGUAGCGGUGAAAUGCGCAGAUAUCGGGAAGAACACCUAUGGCGAAGGCAGCUCUCUGGGACGGUACUGACGCUGAGGCGCGAAAGCGUGGGGAGCGAACAGG